CAGCCGCCGCGGUAAAACGGAGGGUGCAAGCGUUAAUCGGAAUUACUGGGCGUAAAGCGCACGCAGGCGGUCUGACAAGUCAGAUGUGAAAUCCCCGGGCUUAACCUGGGAACUGCAUUUGAAACUGUCAGGCUGGAGUCUUGUAGAGGGGGGUGGAAUUCCAGGUGUAGCGGUGAAAUGCGUAGAGAUCUGGAGGAAUACCGGUGGCGAAGGCGGCCCCCUGGACAAAGACUGACGCUCAGGUGCGAAAGCGUGGGGAGCAAACAGGAUUAGAUACCCCAUAGUCCCUGUCUCUUAUACA
rnacentral:rRNA from 1 species